CGGAGGGUGCAAGCGUUGUUCGGAUUUAUUGGGCGUAAAGCGCGUGUAGGCGGUCUUUUAAGUCUGAUGUGAAAGCCCCGGGCUCAACCCGGGAAGUGCAUUGGAAACUGGGAGACUUGAAUACGGGAGAGGGUAGUGGAAUUCCUAGUGUAGGAGUGAAAUCCGUAGAUAUUAGGAGGAACACCGGUGGCGAAGGCGGCUACCUGGACCGAUAUUGACGCUGAGACGCGAAAGCGUGGGGAGCAAACAGGAUUAGAUACCCUGGUAGUCCACGCCGUAAACGAUGAGUACUAGGUGUUGCGGGUAUUGACCCCUGCAGUGCCGCAGCUAACGCAUUAAGUACUCCGCCUGGGAAGUACGGUCGCAAGACUA
rnacentral:rRNA from 1 species